rnacentral:rRNA from 1 species
GAUGAACGCUGGCGGCGUGCCUAAUACAUGCAAGUCGAGCGAACAGACGAUGAGCUCGUGCUUUUGACGUUAGCGGCGGACGGGUGAGUAACACGUGGGUAACCAACCUAUAUGACUGGGAUAACUUCGGGAAACCGCAGAUAAUACCAGAUAAUAUUUCGAACCGCAUGAUUCAAUAGUGAAACAUGGCUUUGCUGUUACAUUUAGAUGGUCCUGCGCCGUAUUAGCUAGUUGGUAAGGUAACGGCUUACCAAGGCAACGAUACGUAGCCGACCUGAGAGGGUGAUCGGCCACACUGGAACUGAGACACGGUCCAGACUCCUACGGGAGGCAGCAGUAGGGAAUCUUCCGCAAUGGGCGAAAGCCUGACGGAGCAACGCCGCGUGAGUGAUGAAGGUCUUCGGAUCGUAAAACUCUGUUAUUAGGGAAGAACAAACGUGUAAGUAACUGUGCACGUCUUGACGGUACCUAAUCAGAAAGCCACGGCUAACUACGUG